rnacentral:rRNA from 1 species
CGACAUGUUUUUUUGUGCGGCAAAGCGAAUGAUUAGUGCAUUUGGGGGCCGAAGGCCGUCAGGCGAUUCUCAAACUUUAAAUGUGCAAGGGGGCUGGCUGCUUAAUUGAGCCUGCUCUUUGAAAAAUGUGCUCCCUGUGGGCCACUUGUGGCAAGCAGAACUAGCGAUAAGGGAUGAACCUUAAGCGCGGUUAAGGCGCCAUAUUGACGGCUUAUAGACCCCACAAAAUGUCUUGAUUAAUCCAGGCAGCAGGAUGGUGUCCAUGGAAGUCAAAAUCCGCUAAGGAGUGUGUAAAAGCGCACCUGCCAAAUGAAUUAGCACGGAAAUGGAUGGCGCUGAAGCGGGCAGCCGACACCGCGCCAUUAGGGCGAGACGAAGUCUGGAUGAGUAGGAGGGCGUGGCGGUCAGUGAAGAAGGCGCGGGUGCAGACCCUGCUGAAACGGCCGCUAGUGCAGAUCUUUGUUGUAGUCGCAAAUAUUCAAGCGAGAUCCUUGGAGGGCGAAGCGCGGAAGGGUUCCAUGCGAACAUUGAUUGGGCGUGGGUGAGUCGUUUCUAAGCCGAGUGGCAAUAGCUAAGUAGCGGCGAAAGGGAAGCAGGUUAAAAUUCUCGCACACGGAUAUGGAGGCGGCGACGCAAGCAGAGGCGAAGACGCUGGCGAGGGCGCUGGGUAAGAGUUGUCGUUUCUGUUUGACCGGGAUCGCUCGGUGUGGAAUCCGCUUAUCGGGAGAAAAAAGCUUGGGAAGGUGCAAAGCUCCGGACUUGAUUCCGGCGUCCGGCUCGCCCUCGACGGCCCUUGAAAAUUCGCCCGCGAAAACAUUUAUGUACAUUUCAUGCUGUGACGUACCGAUAUCCGCAUUAGGUCCCCAAGGUGAACAGCCUCUGAUCAAUAUGAAAAAUGCCGGUUAGGGAAGUCGGCAAGAUGGACCCGUAACUUUGGGAAAAGGGUUGGCUCUAGUGAGGUGGGAG